rnacentral:rRNA from 1 species
AUUGAACGCUGGCGGCAUGGUUUACACAUGCAAGUCGAACGGUAACAGGCCGCAAGGUGCUGACGAGUGGCGAACGGGUGAGUAAUGCAUCGGAACGUGCCCAGUCGUGGGGGAUAACUACUCGAAAGAGUAGCUAAUACCGCAUACGAUCUAUGGAUGAAAGCGGGGGACCGUAAGGCCUCGCGCGAUUGGAGCGGCCGAUGUCAGAUUAGGUAGUUGGUGGGGUAAAGGCUCACCAAGCCAACGAUCUGUAGCUGGUCUGAGAGGACGACCAGCCACACUGGGACUGAGACACGGCCCAGACUCCUACGGGAGGCAGCAGUGGGGAAUUUUGGACAAUGGGCGCAAGCCUGAUCCAGCAAUGCCGCGUGCAGGAAGAAGGCCUUCGGGUUGUAAACUGCUUUUGUACGGAACGAAACGGCUCUGGUUAAUACCCGGGGCUAAUGACGGUACCGUAAGAAUAAGCACCGGCUAACUACGUG